rnacentral:misc_RNA from 1 species
AAGUCGUAACAAGGUUUCCGUAGGUGAACCUGCGGAAGGAUCAUUACAAAUCCGUCACAUUAUGACACGUUGCAAUGUUGGAGAGUCAGAGGGGGGGGAGGAGAGAGAGAGAGUGAGAGAAUAUUUCUCUUUUUUUUCUUCUUCUUCUUCUUCUUCUGAAACUCUUCACCCUUUUACUAUUAUGUUUGUUGAUCAGUUUUAUUUUUUAAUCACAUACUGUAACACAACUUAUAACAACGGAUCUCUUGGCUCUC